rnacentral:rRNA from 1 species
GACGAACGCUGGCGGCGUGCUUAACACAUGCAAGUCGAGCGGAAAGGCCACUUCGGUGGUACUCGAGCGGCGAACGGGUGAGUAACACGUGAGUAAUCUGCCCCUGGCUUUGGGAUAGCCACCGGAAACGGUGAUUAAUACCGGAUACGACCACUUCUCGCAUGGGAUGGUGGUGGAAAGUUUUUUCGGCCAGGGAUGUGCUCGCGGCCUAUCAGGUUGAUGGUGAGGUAAUGGCUCACCAUGGCUUCGACGGGUAGCCGGCCUGAGAGGGUGACCGCUGACAGUGGGACGGAUACACGGCCAAACCUCCAACGGGAGGAAGCGGUGGAGAAUAUAGGACAAUGGGCGGAAGCCUGAUCCAGCAACGCCACGUGAGGGAUGACGGCCUUCGGGUUGUAAACCUCUUUCAGCAGGGACGAAGCGCAAGUGACGGUACCUGCAGAAGAAGCACCGGCCAACUACGUGCCAGCCGCCGCGGUAA